AUUGAACGCUGGCGGCAGGCUUAACACAUGCAAGUCGAACGAGUGGCGGACGGGUGAGUAAUGCUUGGGGAUCUGGCUUAUGGAGGGGGAUAACUACUGGAAACUGUGGCUAAUACCGCAUACUAUAGGAUGAUCCCAAGUGGGAUUAGGUAGUUGGUGAGGUAAAGGCUCACCAAGCCGACGAUCUCUAGCUGGUCUGAGAGGAUGACCAGCCACACUGGGACUGAGACACGGCCCAGACUCCGACGGGAGGCAGCAGUGGGGAAUAUUGCGCAAUGGGGGCAACCUGACGCAGCCAUGCCGCGUGAAUGAAGAAGGCCUUCGGGUUGUAAAGUACUUUCGGUAGCGAGGCGUUAACUACAGAAGAAGCACCGGCUAACUCCGUGCCAGCAGCCGCGGUAAUUC
rnacentral:rRNA from 1 species